GCAGUCGAGCGGAUGAGGGAGCUUGCUCCUGGAUUCAGCGGCGGACGGGUGAGUAAUGCCUAGGAAUCUGCCUGGUAGUGGGGGAUAACGUCCGGAAACGGGCGCUAAUACCGCAUACGUCCUGAGGGAGAAAGUGGGGGAUCUUCGGACCUCACGCUAUCAGAUGAGCCUAGGUCGGAUUAGCUAGUUGGUGGGGUAAAGGCCUACCAAGGCGACGAUCCGUAACUGGUCUGAGAGGAUGAUCAGUCACACUGGAACUGAGACACGGUCCAGACUCCUACGGGAGGCAGCAGUGGGGAAUAUUGGACAAUGGGCGAAAGCCUGAUCCAGCCAUGCCGCGUGUGUGAAGAAGGUCUUCGGAUUGUAAAGCACUUUAAGUUGGGAGGAAGGGCAGUAAGUUAAUACCUUGCUGUUUUGACGUUACCAACAGAAUAAGCACCGGCUAACUUCGUGCCAGCAGCCGCGGUAAUACGAAGGGUGCAAGCGUUAAUCGGAAUUACUGGGCGUAAAGCGCGCGUAGGUGGUUCAGCAAGUUGGAUGUGAAAUCCCCGGGCUCAACCUGGGAACUGCAUCCAAAACUACUGAGCUAGAGUACGGUAGAGGGUGGUGGAAUUUCCUGUGUAGCGGUGAAAUGCGUAGAUAUAGGAAGGAACACCAGUGGCGAAGGCGACCACCUGGACUGAUACUGACACUGAGGUGCGAAAGCGUGGGGAGCAAACAGGAUUAGAUACCCUGGUAGUCCACGCCGUAAACGAUGUCGACUAGCCGUUGGGAUCCUUGAGAUCUUAGUGGCGCAGCUAACGCGAUAAGUCGACCGCCUGGGGAGUACGGCCGCAAGGUUAAAACUCAAAUGAAUUGACGGGGGCCCGCACAAGCGGUGGAGCAUGUGGUU
rnacentral:rRNA from 1 species